CGGCAGGACGUGCAUGGGCAAUAGCGCACCUGACUUUUAAUCAGGUUGUCGGGGGUCCGAAUCCCCUCCGGCCCA
rnacentral:tRNA from 2 species